GCAGCCAUGCCGCGUGUAGUGAAGAAGGCCUUCGGGUUGUAAAGUACUUUCAGUUGUGAGGAAGGGUGUGUAGUUAAUAGCUGCGCAUCUUGACGUUAGCAACAGAAGAAGCACCGGCUAACUCCGUGCCAGCAGCCGCGGUAAUACGGAGGGUGCGAGCGUUAAUCGGAAUUACUGGGCGUAAAGCGCAUGCAGGUGGUUCAUUAAGUCAGAUGUGAAAGCCCGGGGCUCAACCUCGGAACUGCAUUUGAAACUGGUGAACUAGAGUGCUGUAGAGGGGGGUAGAUUUCAGGUGUAGCGGUGAAAUGCGUAGAGAUCUGAAGGAAACCAGUGGCGAAGGCGGCCCCCUGGACAGACACUGACACUCAGAUGCGAAAGCGUGGGGAGCAAACAGGAUUAGAUACCCUGGUAGUCCACGCCGUAAACGAUGUCUACUUGGAGGUUGUGGCCUUGAGCCGUGGCUUUCGGAGCUAACGCGUUAAGUAGACCGCCUGGGGAUACGGUCGCAAGAUUAAAACUCAAGAAUUUGACGG
rnacentral:rRNA from 1 species